CACGUAGGGUGCGAGCGUUGUCCGGAAUUAUUGGGCGUAAAGAGCUCGUAGGCGGUGUGUCGCGUCGGCCGUGAAAACCUGCAGCUUAACUGUGGGCUUGCGGUCGAUACGGGCAUCACUGGAGUUCGGCAGGGGAGACUGGAAUUCCUUGUGUAGCGGUGAAAUGCGCAGAUAUCAGGAGGAACACCGGUGGCGAAGGCGGGUCUCUGGGCCGAUACUGACGCUGAGGAGCGAAAGCGUGUGGAGCGAACAGG
rnacentral:rRNA from 1 species